rnacentral:rRNA from 1 species
AUUGAACGCUGGCGGCAUGCUUUACACAUGCAAGUCGAACGGCAGCGCGGGCUUCGGCCUGGCGGCGAGUGGCGAACGGGUGAGUAAUACAUCGGAACGUGCCCAGGAGUGGGGGAUAGCUCGGCGAAAGCCGGAUUAAUACCGCAUACGACCUGAGGGUGAAAGCGGGGGAUCUUCGGACCUCGCGCUAUUGGAGCGGCCGAUGGCAGAUUAGCUAGUUGGUGGGGUAAAGGCCUACCAAGGCGACGAUCUGUAGCUGGUCUGAGAGGAGGACCCGCCACACUGGGACUGAGACACGGCCCAGACUCCUACGGGAGGCAGCAGUGGGGAAUUUUGGACAAUGGGCGAAAGCCUGAUACAGCAAUGCCGCGUGUGUGAUGAAGGCCUUCGGGUUGUAAAGCACUUUUGGCGGGAACGAAAAGGACUGUGCCAAUACCACGGUUCGAUGACGGUACCCGCAGAAUAAGCACCGGCUAACUACGUG